rnacentral:rRNA from 1 species
UACGUAGGGUGCGAGCGUUAAUCGGAAUUACUGGGCGUAAAGCGUGCGCAGGCGGCUAUCCAAGUCAGUGGUGAAAGCCCGGAGCUCAACUCCGGAACUGCCAUUGAAACUGUUUAGCUCGAGUACGAGAGAGGUGAGUGGAAUUCCCAGUGUAGAGGUGAAAUUCGUAGAUAUUGGGAAGAACACCGGUGGCGAAGGCGGCUCACUGGCUCGUAACUGACGCUCAUGCACGACAGCGUGGGGAUCAAACAGG